GAUGAACGCUGGCGGCGUGCCUAAUACAUGCAAGUCGAGCGAAUGGAUUAAGAGCUUGCUCUUAUGAAGUUAGCGACGGACGGGUGAGUAACACGUGGGUAACCUGCCCAUAAGACUGGGAUAACUCCGGGAAACCGGGGCUAAUACCGGAUAAUAUUUUGAACUGCAUGGUUCAAAAUUGAAAGGCGGCUUCGGCUGUCACUUAUGGAUGGACCCGCGUCGCAUUAGCUAGUUGGUGAGGUAACGGCUCACCAAGGCAACGAUGCGUAGCCGACCUGAGAGGGUGAUCGGCCACGCGGGGACUGAGACACGGCCCAGACUCCUACGGGAGGCAGCAGUAGGGAAUCUUCCGCAAUGGACGAAAGUCUGACGGAGCAACGCCGCGUGAGUGAUGAAGGCUUUCGGGUCGUAAAACUCUGUUGUUAGGGAAGAACAAGUGCUAGUUGAAUAAGCUGGCACCUUGACGGUACCUAACCAGAAAGCCACGGCUAACUACGUGCCAGCAGCCGCCGUAA
rnacentral:rRNA from 1 species